ensembl:lncRNA
GUUAGGAGGUCAAGGAUGAAUUGAGCUGAUGGCUGGGUAGUAGUUUACAAGGUGAAGAGGAGAGGAAGUGCCUUCCAGGCAGAAGAAGCAGUAUGUGCAAAGGCUCUGUGGCUUGACGCUACAGGAGAUGAGCUAAAGAGAUGACAUGAAGUCAGCACGAUCCCGUCCUGCACCAGGCAGGCUCUAACAUUUUUCUGGCUCAAGAUCAAAAGUGAUCACUUGAGUCAGAAAAACUUUCUUCAGCACUCAUCUCGCCCUCCUGUUAUGAAAGUAAACAACCAAUGUGUGUUAAUGCCCUCUCUGUGCUGGAAUGCUGGUGCUCAGGGGUGGUUCCCCAGACCAGCAGCAUCAGCAGUGGCUGAGUACUUCUGUUAGAAAUGCCAAUCAGAAACUCCGGGGGCGGAAUCCAGCCAUCUGUGUUUCAACAAGCCCAGGAGAUUCCCACAAGGAGCAUUUCCUGGAAGCAGAACUUGUCUCUCACUGAAACAGGACGUGACUAUGAGGCGUGUUCCAAUUUCAGCUGUUGGCGCCCCGGCUGCCAGGAGGAAGCCGCAGCCCCAGCCCCAUCCUUGGUGGAGAGUGCCGGAGAGCGUGGCCGCUUCCUGAGGCCGGCAGAGCAUUCCAAUCUUCCUCACGCAGUCUUGGCCGUCAGACUGGGGACUAACCCUACUUGGAGUCGAUAUUCCUGCAAGAAACCUUCCCUUAGGAAGUUUGAUCUUUGCCACAUCACAGAGACAGGGAGAGAGUAGGCCUUAGUUUUCACCUGUGGGUUAAUAUUAAUAUGUAAAUAUAUGAAAGAGAAAGCAGAAAUUGAGUGGACCCAGCCACCUGAGACCUUGGGGUCUUUAUUUAUUCCAGUAUUAAUUGUUUUUAUGAGAGGAUUAUUCAGCUGCACACACUGAAAGGACAGAGGACAGAAGGCUCCAUUUACCUAGGCUCCAUAUAAUCAAAAUGCAAGGAGUUUUAGCAUUUUUCUAACACCGAAAGAAAACUUGGCUAAGGUAUUUUAAAGCAAAAAUUAGCAACAUUGCUUGAAUCUUAGAUUAGAUAGAAGGAUUUAACGCCCCUGAAAGAACUCUCAGGCAUUUAUCCAGUGGUCUGUGGGUAAACCUCCAGUCAGCUUUUUGAGGGGAAAUUGGGAAGUAGAAGUGAAUUGCUGUUUUUUAAAACUCCCUCAUAUUCCAUAACCCACAAUUCCAUUUUCCUGGGGUGCUUUGUAGAAUGUGUCUUAUCCUGCUCUAAAGGGUGUCUUUCACUGUUAAAAGUUGAGUGUUUCCUUGGUGACUAGAGUGGCACUUUUUCUCCUGAGCCUGUCUCCUCGUAGGACCUUGGUGACAGGGGUUGGUGAAUGGUUAUCUUUCUUGGAUUAUCUUAGUGCUGGUAUAGUUCAGAAUCGUGGAACUGUUUAUAACUAAAAGAGACUUUCAGGGAUGACAGUCUGACUUCUUUUAUUUUCAAACAAGAAAACCAAGUCCAGAAAGUUUGUGUGACUUGCCCAAGGUCACAGAGUCUUGCCCAAGGUCACAGGAAGGCAGCUGUGACAAGAAUUCAAGCUUCUCCACUCUCAGUCAAGGACUGAGGACAUCACCCUAUUGCUUUGCUAGUUCUUUUGGUUUUUAAUACCUGAAAUUCUUUACCCUCUCGGGACUUGCCGGAGCGUUUGGCCAACCUGGUACAGAUAACAGGCUUUUUCUCAAGCGAUGAGGUUUUGAUCCUAUCAGAGAACACCCAGACGGGGAGCGAGCUCUCUGCUCCCAGGGGUGGACACAGAUUAGAUAGACAUUUGGAAGGCUGGACGCCCGGAAGGAAAGGUGACACAUUACAGGGUUCGGGCUGCCCUUAUUACUAAGCAUUCUGAUGGCGUUCUGAUUCCUGAUGGCAUCCUGCAGGAGAGAGAGAGAGCUCUUUCCUAUUGACUCUGAUUUGUCUCCACAGUCUCUCUCACAACAGAGCCAGAGGCCAGUCUUGACUAAAAGGAGAUAGAUACAGAUCGUCUUUUUAAAGAAAAAUUUUGCAAUGGCGGAGGUAGGCUCCAAAUCUGGGAAAAGUUUGGAUUUUUGAGAAUGAAUACAAAUUAAAUGCAUUUCAAAAAAAUUAAAUGAACGUAAGGGGGAACAUUAAUGGAACCCUCCAUAAAAUUUUAAAAAAUCACCUACAAAUCUCAAUAUGUCCACAAAUUAUUUUCAGAAAACAACAGGGGUUCUAAGAGACUGAAGCAUAUUCAUUUUGAUGAGUAACUGCUUGGGUCCUCUUGAAUGUACUGGGCUAGUUUCUAUUUCUCUGAAGUAGUCUUUAUAUUUAUUAUUAUUAUUAUUUAUUAUUUAUUAUUUAGCAUCCCCGCCCCCCAAAAGGUGCAGAGGUUUACUUUUUUUUUUGGCACAGUAAAAUCUUUUUCAAAAAUAUUUUCUAUGCUAUGGAUUUUUUUUGGUAAUAUCUCAGGUCAAAUCAUAUUCCUUUUGUAUAUUAUGAUUCAUGGUAAGAUAAAUAAAAAGUAAACCACCACCAAAAUUUAAAAAGAAGCUGCUUAACGGAGAUGAUCUUUAAGUGGCUACUGAGUCAGUGUGUAUUCAUGGACCCUUGAUCAGUGCUCGCAGGGACUGUUUUGUGCUGAGAACAAAGACACCAAAGAGAUAGGGCCACUGGGAGGAAACUGGAGGGAGUGAAAAGGCUCCCCAGAGCCCUGGAAUCAGGAAAUUCCCAGCCCUAAUUAAACUACAGCCAAGUGGAGGGAGAGCAGCAGAAACAAAAUUCAGAACUGCCAACAGGUGCAAAAGGCAGCAAACGCACCAGUCUUAGCAAGGAGAAACAUCUUUCAUUUUCCAUCACCUACAACGCCUUCUCAAUGUAAAAUCUUGUCCAAGAAAAGAGGUUCGUCUGAUUCAACAGCUGAAGGACAGCCCGUCAUUCCCCUUUCCUCCACAACUGACACUCACUGGAGGGACCCCAGAAUCCUCUGAAUUGGAGCGUUACAUCGUACAGUAAAAUAUUUCAUUUUAAUCAAAUUUAUUUUCCUAGGGGCAUUCAAAAGGGCACCCUAGCCCACCCCUUUAGUGAUUUAUUUAUGUCGUUUUCAUUUAUUCAAGACCCUUGAUUGACUGAAGCAGCUCCUCCAGGCACUGCCCCUCCAGAGGCGGUGACAAUAGGUCUUCUGUGGAGGGAACUGCUGGGAACGCUUCAGCUUCAGUGAGGCAGCUUUCAGAGGGAGCAGAGCUGUGGGCCCUGCUGCCAAGAUUUUAAUGAAUUGCUUCAGAUAUUCUCUCUCAUGGCUUCCACUGUGUUUAGAAAUCUGAAAGAGAAAAAAAAAAAUCUGCGUACAGAACACAUGGCAUUUGGACAUUAAAAAUCUGCUACACACACAAAUAUCUGUUAUAUAUUUCUUUUUAAAUGGCUAAGUGCUGUUCAGGAAAUUUACAAAGAAUUUCAUGACGUCGGUGUGUGCCUUUUUUUCCUGAAAAUGUUUCUGUAAUAGAUAUUAUUUAUUCCUUACCAUCAAUUUCCCUAUGAAACAAAGUCAUAUGCUUGCUCUGAAAAAAAAGCUUAAUUUU